rnacentral:rRNA from 1 species
GGAGUAUGGACCGUGUCUCAGUUCCAUUGUGGGGGUCACUCCUCUCAGAGCCCCUACCCGUCGUCGGCACGGCGGGCCGCUGCCCCGCCGUCUACCUGAUGGGACGCGAGCCAAUCCGUGACCGGUUCUCACCUUUCAAUCACAUACCAUGCGAUAUAUGAUCUUAUGGGGUAUUAGGAGACGUUUCCAUCUGUUAUCCCCCUGUCACGGGCAUGUCGCUCACGCGUUACGCACCCUUCCGCCGGUCGCCGCCAGGUAUUGCUACCCGCGAUGCCCCUCGACUUGCAUGUGUUAAGCCUGCCGCUAGCGUUCAUC